GUAAGGCCCUUCGGGGUACACGAGUGGCGAACGGGUGAGUAACACGUGAGUAAUGUGCCCUUGACUCUGGGAUAACAGUUGGAAACAGCUGCUAAUACCGGAUAUGACCUGUCCCGGCAUCGGGGUGGGUGGAAAGCUCCGGCGGUCAUGGAUCAACUCGCGGCCUAUCAGCUUGUUGGUGAGGUAGUGGCUCACCAAGGCUUCGACGGGUAGCCGGCCUGAGAGGGCGACCGGCCACACUGGGACUGAGAUACGGCCCAGACUCCUACGGGAGGCAGCAGUGGGGAAUAUUGCACAAUGGGCGCAAGCCUGAUGCAGCAACGCCGCGUGCGGGAUGACGGCCUUCGGGUUGUAAACCGCUUUCACCCAUGACGAAGCGAAAGUGACGGUAGUGGGAGA
rnacentral:rRNA from 1 species